UACAGAGGGUGCAAGCGUUAAUCGGAAUUACUGGGCGUAAAGCGUGCGUAGACGGUUAUGUAAGUCGGGUGUGAAAGCCCCGGGCUCAACCUGGGACACCACCCGAUACUGCUUUGGCUAGAGUCCGGUAGGGGAGCAUGGAAUUCCUGGUGUAGCGGUGAAAUGCGCAGAUAUCAGGAGGAACACCAGCGGCGAAGGCGGUGCUCUGGGCCGGAACUGACACUGAGGAGCGAAAGCGUGGGUAGCAAACAGG
rnacentral:rRNA from 1 species